rnacentral:rRNA from 1 species
UACGUAGGGGUCGAGCGUUGUCCGGAGUUACUGGGCGUAAAGCGCGCGCAGGUGGCUCAUUACGCCCGGCGUGAAAGCCCCCGGCCUAACCGGGGAAGGUCGUCGGGUACGGGUGAGCUUGAGGGUAGCAGGGGCUGGUAGAAUUCCCGGUGUAGUGGUGAAAUGCGUAGAGAUCGGGAGGAAUACCCGUGGCGAAGGCGGCCAGCUGGGCUACACCUGACACUGAGGCGCGAAGGCGUGGGGAGCGAACGGG